GGAUGGAUGGAUUUAAUAUGUCACUGGACAGAAAUGGAUACAAUCUCAGAUGUAAAAUACAUUUAUUUUGAUUAACCAAGCAGUGAUGGUCAGCUCUGUCAGCCUGUUCAGGAUGUACCCCACGUCAGCACCUGUUUGUUUUCAGCUUCUCCAAAACAUUACUGUAAAAUAAAUCUUUUUGUAUUGAAACUCUAAUUGGCAAACAGAAGACAUCUGAACAUGAUCCUUAUCAUUAUCAGUCACAAUUAAACUGUUUUUAGUAGCUAGAAGUUUUGUCUCCUGUUUAGUGGAUUCUAAAAUAAUAAAAUCUAUUCUGUUUCAAUGUUAUUUAUGUAGCACAAAAUCACAACACUCACCUGAAGGUGCUUUAUAUUGUAAGGUAAAGAUGCAACAAUAACAGAUCAAAUUAUUACCUCAAUCCCAGUGUUUUUUUUAAUAAUAUUAACAAAAUGUCCGUUUUUAUAAAUAGUACAGGUAUAAUGUGGUCUGACACUAUAUUUUGGGUUUUGUUGCAGACAGUGUUUUUCUUCACUGUAGAUUCUUGAACACUUGAGUUUUUGGACACUUUGUGCUGAAGAGGCAGCUGAAACAUCUGGUACUGUUGUGGUGAUGCUCCAGAGGGCACUGAGAGUGGAAAUCAGACACUAACUGUGGAAGAAAUCUUCGAGGCAAUGUGUGGAAAUGUGUUUCUUGUGCACACAGCACUGAGGAGCCUGUGGAAAAAUCAAGAACUGAGACCGACAGCUGUAGAUGUGGAUCUGCCGUGCUCAUUUCAACGACAAGCAGAAGAAUGCAAUGAAGAAAUGGUGUGAGUGGCGUCAGUGCUGCCAGCUGUGGUCACACAUGUGGUUUCAAAAAGAACAUGUGCAUUCACUGCCAGAAUCACACACCUUAAAGUGCACUUUUAAGUGCUUUAAGAUAAUGUACUGCCAGGAGUUUACGUUCAUACAUGUAAUGUUGAUACUUUGUUCUUCGUAGUUUCUGAAAAAGGAUGUUAAUACUGAGUUCAAAUACAACUUAGAUUGUAAUGCAAAAUGUUUGCUUCACAGCACACACAAAUAUAUUACAGCAAAAUGUAAUUUGCACUGUGAAUGGAUGCAGAUGUGUGUUUCUCUAAGAAAAGUUAUUUUGUAGGUGGAUUACAGUUUGAAAUUCAUUUAGAUUGUCAAACUACAGAGUACAAAUGCAUUUUUUCUACAGCAAGUGGAAGCAAGCCAUGUGGGUAAGAGGAAGCAUCCAAAUAUGUUAAUGUAACAACUGCACAUAGGAGGGAAUCAUUUUAUUCUCAGACAAUGUUAGAAUAGCAACACUCUGCACAUACUGAUAAUAGUGAAGUAUUUCAGUCUGUAUAUUUGGAGAUAAAGUAUUUCACAUCAACAUAUGUACAGAUGAAGGAGGAGCAUUUUCUCUGUAUGAUUUUUAUUCUGUAAAACGACUAUGUCUAUAAUAUCUGCACCUGAUAAGGUUCCAUCCAUCCAUCCAUUCACUUCCGCUUAUCCUGUUCAGGGUCGCGGGGGGGCUGGAGCCUGUCCCAGCUGUGAUAGGGUGAGAAGCAGGGUACACCUGUACAGGUCGAC